rnacentral:lncRNA from 1 species
CAGUAAGAAACUAUUGCUCAACAAAAAGAAAUCUACAAAAAGUUUGAGCAAAAAUAUACCAGGGUUUUGGAAAUGCAGCACAAUAUGGUCACAACAUGGCUGCAGUUUCUCUGCAAAAUGUAAAAAAACAGCUAUCACUGGACCCUCCCGCCUUCAGACACACUAAGAGGAAGUAAAAAUGAAGAAAGAAAAGCAGCAAUUACAAACAAAGUGAGGAUAUAACCGCUCAUGCAGAGACAGCGCUUAUACUACAGUCCAGAGCAGCAGCUGCAAAGACUUGAGUUACUUCUGUGCAGAGCAUCAGUGAUUAAUCUGCAAAAAUGUCCGACAAACCAGAUAUGGCUGAAAUUGAGAAAUUUGACAAGACUAAAUUGAAGAAAACAGAAACGCAAGAGAAAAAUCCACUGCCUUCAAAAGAAAGUAAGUAUGUAUAAUUUAACAGGGAGAGGGAAAAGGCAAGGAAAAGAUAAAGACAGGGUAGAGAGACAGUUUUUAUACAUAUACAUUAUGUGAAAUAUGUGUAUGAUUACUGAAUAGAUAUAAAAUUU